UUUUGUUUUCUUGUUUUGGACCACGAUUUCUAUUGCACCGGUUCGGAUUAGAUAUAUGGAUCGGACAAGACACCCCAAAGAGCUAACUCACCGGGAUUCUCAAUGAUAGAUCAAGGAGUACAAGGAAAUAUUCUUUACAAUCACACAUACCAGAUUUAAAAUCCGCGAAAGACGGUCUGAACAUACAGUAAACAUUUUU
rnacentral:sRNA from 1 species